AAAGUAGGCUAGGCAAUCGCCGGUGGAUGUUCGCAAGACGCCACGGGAGGAAAGUCCGAGCUUCAUAGGGCAGGGUGCCGGCUAACGGCCGGUGGGAGCGAUCCUAAGGAAAGUGCCACAGAAAGAAACCGCCAGCGGCCUCGUGCAAGCGGGGUGCGGGCAAGGAUGCAACGGUGCGGUAAGAGCGCACCAGCAGUCUGGAGACAGGCUGGCUAGGUAAACCCCACCCGAAGCAAGACCGGAUAGGAGUCCACAUGCGUUUGCCCGACGCGGACUCGGGUUGGUCGCUUGAGCGUGUUGGCAACAGCACGCCUAGAUAGAUGGUUGCUGCUCCAGGUGCGAGGUUGACGACCGUUUGCAGCACCGGAGAACAAAACUCGGCUUAUCGGCCCACUUUUCGG
rnacentral:RNase_P_RNA from 1 species